rnacentral:rRNA from 1 species
CCUACGGGAGGCAGCAGUGGGGAAUAUUGGACAAUGGGCGGAACCCUGAUCCAGCGACGCAGCGUGAAUGAAGAAGUCUUUAGGUAUGGAAAGCUCUAUCAGCAAAGAAAAAAAUGAAGGUACCUGACUAAGAAGCCCCGGCUAACUACGUGACAGCAGCCGCGGUAAUGCGUAGGGUGCAAGCGUUAUCCGGAUGAACUGGGUGUAAAGGGAGAGUAGAAGGUGCAGUAAGUCUGAUGUGAAAGGUUGGGGUCCAACCUUGGGACUGCAGUGGAAACUGUUGAACUGGAGUACAGGUGAGGUAGGCGGAAUUCGUAGUGUAGCGGUGAAAUGCGUAGAUAUUACGAGGAACACCGGUGGCGAAGGCGGCUUACUGGACUGUAACUGACGUUGAGGCUCGAAAGCGUGGGGAGCAAACAGGAUUAGAUACCCCAGUAGUC